rnacentral:rRNA from 1 species
GUGGGGAAUCUUGCGCAAUGGGCGAAAGCCUGACGCAGCCAUGCCGCGUGAAUGAUGAAGGUCUUAGGAUUGUAAAAUUCUUUCACCGGGGACGAUAAUGACGGUACCCGGAGAAGAAGCUCCGGCUAACUUCGUGCCAGCAGCCGCGGUAAUACGAAGGGGGCUAGCGUUGCUCGGAAUUACUGGGCGUAAAGGGCGCGUAGGCGGACAGCUUAGUCAGAGGUGAAAGCCCAGGGCUCAACCUUGGAAUUGCCUUUGAUACUGGCUGUCUUGAGUUUGGGAGAGGUGAGUGGAACUCCGAGUGUAGAGGUGAAAUUCGUAGAUAUUCGGAAGAACACCAGUGGCGAAGGCGACUCACUGGCCCAAUACUGACGCUGAGGCGCGAAAGCGUGGGGAGCAAAAGGGAUUAGAAACCCUUGUAGUCC